UACGUAGGGUGCAAGCGUUGUCCGGAAUCAUUGGGCGUAAAGAGCACGCAGGCGGUUUGGCAAGUCGGAUGUGAAAACCCGGAGCUCAACUCCGGACCUGCAUCCGAAACUGCCCGACUAGAGUGCGGUAGGGGAGACUGGAAUUCCUGGUGUAGCGGUGGAAUGCGCAGAUAUCAGGAGGAACACCGAUGGCGAAGGCAGGUCUCUGGGCCGCAACUGACGCUGAGGAGCGAAAGCAUGGGGAGCGAACAGG
rnacentral:rRNA from 1 species